rnacentral:lncRNA from 1 species
AAGAGAGGAGAAGAAAGAGAAACCAGGGGGGCGAGGCGCCGUCCAAUGACAAAGCCCAGGGGAGAGCUGCCCUGCCAAGCCCGCGGCGCCCGGGCCCUGCUUCGGGGGCCGCACCCUGGAGGAGAUCUGGAGGGCGGCCACCCCGACGCUGACCACCUUUCCCACCAUUCGCGUCGGCGGCGACGUGUGGGGCGAGCGCAGCCUGGCGGCGGCGCGGCGCCGGGCAAGCCAAGUCCUGCGAGUGAACCUGGAACCCGUGGUGAGGCUCCGCCGCUUCCCCGUGCCCCGGGCGUGAAACGCAGCCCGCGACGGCUUCCCGGCCAGGGACGGGGCUUCCGCCUGGAGGGAUGGACAAGUGUCAGUCGAGUGUUUACAGAUCCGGCCAGGACCCCGUCCCCUCGUGCACUUUACGGGCAAAGAAGUCACCGGAUGCUUUUCCCGGCCUCGCGGCGCCGCCGUCUGGGGCUCAGGGACAGGUGUGCCCUCCGCUGCCUCCUGGCGCCCGGGCUGCGGAGGAGGAGACAGCCGGACCCGCAGGGGAGGGCCCUAUGCUUCCUUACCCCGGACUGAGACAUCUCCAGGACUGGAGGGGCAGAUCCGUUUUCUCCCUUUGGACUCUACCUCACUGGUCUGGAAGUUCUCUGAAGAAGUCGUUAUUUUUCCAAAGGAAUUUGGUUUCGUGUUUGUGUAAUAAAGCCAGAAUCUACUUGCUUUCCCCCCAAAUCCUCCCCCCACCCCAUUUUUCUUUGCAACUGCCACCCCUCUUUCUGGACGAAAGAUUGAACCUGUUUUGUACUCAGGGUAUUCUGAAUCCCAUUCGUUUCCUAAUUUUAACCGGAUUCCAAAGCUCUGACCAAGGAUAUUUUUCUAAGAGAUUCAAGCUUAUGACUGUAAUAGUGCAAGGAUUUGUAUGCUUUGAAUUCCAUGGGCUCAGUGAUUACAAACAAAGAGAUGCAAAGUACAACUGUUUGAACAUUUUUGAGGUGUUCCUAAAGAUUUUAUAUUGAAAUUUAAUGUUUAUAUUUACUGAGCUCCUAAAUAAAAUGGUAUAAACUCAUAUGAAGUUCUGUUUAGGAAAAGCUGACUUGUUAAGAUUCUUUUUAAUUAAAUAAAAAUUAAAGUGCAUUGAAACCACAUGGCUUGUGAUAAAGAAAAAUUAGUUAUAAAGAACUGGUGUUGGUUAAAGAGAUGGAUGGAAUCCUAUUGGAAAUGAUUUGGCUUCAUUGUACUGGUCUAACAUACAAAUCCAGGAAUAGUUGAAGGAUAACCUAUUUUAAAUUGCAAAUAGCAGAGAAGAAAUAAAUGUGUUCAAACUUUGUGAUUAAAAUGAUAAACAGAAUACCCAUUAGAAUUCUCAGAACUAUUAGUCAUCUAGAGGGGUGGGGGCAUUUCUUGGUAUCAAAUAACUGGUUGAAGUUACUUUGGGCAAAAUAGAUCUCUUUCUUUACUUUCUGUUGUUGGAUAGCAAGAAAUGCCCAGAAUAAUAUCCAUUAUUCUUAUAAACAUUAUGACAAUUAGUUGACUUUUGCUCCGUGAGUUAACUUUUUAAAAAAUCUUAAUUCCAUUUGUAAUUAUGUUUGUAGUUACCGGUCUUUGUUGACAGCUGAAGACCACAGGAAUCGUUGAUCAGGCGAGUCACACAGUACUGACCCUUCUUUUACACUUUUAUAAUAGCAUUUAUACCAUAUGGCCCAGUGUGGAAUUCUUGAUUAUCCAAGUGCCUUUGGUCAUUGGUGGCAGCAAGACUUAAUGGUUUUUAGCCAGUGGUGCCACAGCCAGAUUUUACUGCAAUAUCUAAAGGGUCAAGUAGUGUUUUGUACCACUAUUUUUCAAAUUUAAGUAUUCUGCCAUGGAAUGAUUCAUACUGGCUAGAACUUGACAUACGAUAUCCUUAAUAUUAAGGCUUAUCUCUGCUUGGCAGCUUCUUAGGAGAAUUAUUUUAAUAAGAGUUGCAAUUUUGACUCUUGCGAUCUUAGAAUUCAAAUGCUAUUGCUUUCUGAAUUGAAAAUUUCAACUUUAAUAGUCCAUAAGUAGGAGUUUUGUGACUUUAAUUUCAGUGUACUUGUUUUGUAAAAAAAAAAAAAAUUAUAUAUAUAAUAUGACUUUAUGCCAGUUUCCCAGUAUGCCUCGUAUUCUUUUAUUCACUACUCAAUGAAAAUGCAUUGUUACCGACACUGUCACACGAAUAAAUAAAAGUGGAUAAUUACUUAGAUGAUGAAGAGUGUUAAAUUAUAUCUUUGUGAAAGGAAGCUUAUAUAUAUUCUUUUGGUUAUUAGCUUCCAUUGCCAAUCGUAUUUCAGAUACAGUAGAGUUUUCUCCUCCCUCCCCCUGCUACUGAAUUGUUACCAUUUUUUUAGCAAACUAGCCCCUGAGGAAAAAAAUAUGUAUUUGUACCACUCACUAUUGUAUAUAGUUUUAUAAUAAAUUCAAUGGCCAUAUUAGAAUGUGAUUUCAACAUAUAGCUUAUCUAGAUAAUUUCACAGAGGAUUUUGAAAUUAGACCUAGCUGGGAGGAUAACUUUGCUCAGCACAAAACUGAAACAACUAUUGACACCAUGCAUUUUAACUGAGAUUCUUAACAUUUUUUCCUCAUGCCUUGUUACUUUAGUGCUCUUGAACUAGCAUAAAUGCUUCUUUGGAUUGUCUGGGCUAUCUGAUUUCAGUUUGGGUUGGAUUGCCCAUCUUGAAUUCAAUAUAUUAUUUAUCUGGUUUAUUUAAAAAUCAUGCCAUUUCUAGUUUGUGAAAUGAGAUGUAAAAAAAACUUUUAUUUUUGCCAAGUGUUCUUUAGCCAAACGUAUGUUACAUCUUCUAAAAUGUGAAGAAACAACUAAUAUAGAUGGUUGGUGUGUUAAUAGGAAAGUGAAAGUAUUCAUGGGUACAUUGGGCAGAAUGUGGAAAGGAACUUGGCAAGGUGGCCUUUCUGGUGAGGCAUCCAUUUCCUGUCCUCUAAAGUAAGUCUGUAGCUUAGCUUGUAUAUAGUUUUUUAAAAGACAUCCCAUGAUCUUUAUUCACUCUCUUAUAAGAUUAUCUUCUAUCUCGUAUGGCACAAAUAGGGAAGCUAGGAGGAAGUUUAUCACCUCACUAUGCUUUUAUUUAAUUUUUAACUCUUGAGUGCCUAAAUAUGGUGACUGGCACCUCAGCUAACUUUUUGAGAUUCCUGAUGUCAUUUUUAUCCUCCUUCCUGUCAACCAGCAACUUAUUUUUCCAUGCUGAAAUCAGUAAUGUCAUGAUUGUUGAGGGUAAGCUUUGUUGUUGAUAGUGCAAAGUGUUGCUGUUGUGGUGUGUAUUUAUUUUGUCAAAGUUUGAGUCCCCUGUUGGACACGUGUAACUAAGCUGGUGGCUGACACCUAUUGAUUUGCUACUUGCAAAUGAUACUACUAUUUUUCUGAAAACUCAUUCAGUUAAAAAAACAUCAAAAAUAUUUGAAUACAAAAAAAUGAGGUUUUGAAUUCAAAACUUUGUUGUUUUAAGGGUUGCCACAGCACUCUUUAAAUUGGUGGGUUUUGGUGGACAUAUAUACAUAAUAUUUACUUUAUUGGUGUGUUUGAAAUAUUUUUUGAUAGACUGUUAUGUCUUAAGUGCAUUUGAAGGCAAUUGUUUGUAAUGGAACCGAAUUGUUUCCUUGGACAGUUUGAUGUGCAUAUGAUUAAGAUUUAUAAUCUGGUUGUACUUUGCUUUUUAAUUUAUUAACUGUAAAUAAAUUUUAGAGAA